rnacentral:rRNA from 1 species
CAUACGCGUUCAGAGUUUGAUCCUGGCUCAGGAUGAACGCUGGCGGCGUGCUUAACACAUGCAAGUCGAACGGACUUUACAUGAAACCUAGUGAUUGUAAAGUUAGUGGCGGACGGGUGAGUAACGCGUGGGUAACCUGCCUUGUACAGGGGGACAACAGUUGGAAACGACUGCUAAUACCGCAUAAGCGCACGGAGCUGCAUGGCUCAGUGUGAAAAACUCUGGUGGUACAAGAUGGACCCGCGUCUGAUUAGCUAGUUGGUGAGGUAACGGCCCACCAAGGCGACGAUCAGUAGCCGGCCUGAGAGGGUGAACGGCCACAUUGGGACUGAGACACGGCCCAA